CCUACGGGUGGCAGCAGUGGGGAAUAUUGGGCAAUGGGCGCAAGCCUGACCCAGCAACGCCGCGUGAGGGAAGAAGGCUUUCGGAUUGUACACCUCUUUCAUGAGGGAAGAGCAGAAGACGGUACUCCCAGAAGAAGCCACGGCUAACUACGCGCCAGCAGCCGCGGUAAUACGUAGGUGGCAAGCGUCGUCCGGAUUUACCGGGUGUAAAGGGCGUGUAGGCGGGGUGAAAAGGAAGAUGUGAAAUGCCGGGGCUCAACCCCGGCACUGCAUUUGACAAUGUUGGUCUUGAGUAGCGGAGAGGCAAGCGGAAUUCCUAGUGUAGCGGUGAAAUGCGUAGAUAUUAGGAGGAACACCAGUGGCGAAGGCGGCUUACUGGACGGUAACUGACGGUGAGGCGCGAAAGCGUGGGGAGCAAACAGGAUUAGAUACCCUAGUAGUC
rnacentral:rRNA from 1 species